CAAGGCUGAGGCGUGAUGACGAGGCACUACGGUGCUGAAGCAACAAAUGCCCUGCUUCCAGGAAAAGCCUCUAAGCAUCAGGUAACAUCAAAUCGUACCCCAAACCGACACAGGUGGUCAGGUAGAGAAUACCAAGGCGCUUGAGAGAACUCGGGUGAAGGAACUAGGCAAAAUGGUGCCGUAACUUCGGGAGAAGGCACGCUGAUAUGUAGGUGAAGUCCCUCGCGGAUGGAGCUGAAAUCAGUCGAAGAUACCAGCUGGCUGCAACUGUUUAUUAAAAACACAGCACUGUGCAAACACGAAAGUGGACGUAUACGGUGUGACGCCUGCCCGGUGCCGGAAGGUUAAUUGAUGGGGUUAGCGCAAGCGAAGCUCUUGAUCGAAGCCCCGGUAAACGGCGGCCGUAACUAUAACGGUCCUAAGGUAGCGAAAUUCCUUGUCGGGUAAGUUCCGACCUGCACGAAUGGCGUAAUGAUGGCCAGGCUGUCUCCACCCGAGACUCAGUGAAAUUGAACUCGCUGUGAAGAUGCAGUGUACCCGCGGCAAGACGGAAAGACCCCGUGAACCUUUACUAUAGCUUGACACUGAACAUUGAGCCUUGAUGUGUAGGAUAGGUGGGAGGCUUUGAAGUGUGGACGCCAGUCUGCAUGGAGCCGACCUUGAAAUACCACCCUUUAAUGUUUGAUGUUCUAACGUGGACCCGUAAUCCGGGUUGCGGACAGUGUCUGGUGGGUAGUUUGACUGGGGCGGUCUCCUCCUAAAGAGUAACGGAGGAGCACGAAGGUUGGCUAAUCCUGGUCGGACAUCAGGAGGUUAGUGCAAUGGCAUAAGCCAGCUUGACUGCGAGCGUGACGGCGCGAGCAGGUGCGAAAGCAGGUCAUAGUGAUCCGGUGGUUCUGAAUGGAAGGGCCAUCGCUCAACGGAUAAAAGGUACUCCGGGGAUAACAGGCUGAUACCGCCCAAGAGUUCAUAUCGACGGCGGUGUUUGGCACCUCGAUGUCGGCUCAUCACAUCCUGGGGCUGAAGUAGGUCCCAAGGGUAUGGCUGUUCGCCAUUUAAAGUGGUACGCGAGCUGGGUUUAGAACGUCGUGAGACAGUUCGGUCCCUAUCUGCCGUGGGCGCUGGAGAACUGAGGGGGGCUGCUCCUAGUACGAGAGGACCGGAGUGGACGCAUCACUGGUGUUCGGGUUGUCAUGCCAAUGGCACUGCCCGGUAGCUAAAUGCGGAAGAGAUAAGUGCUGAAAGCAUCUAAGCACGAAACUUGCCCCGAGA
rnacentral:rRNA from 1 species